rnacentral:rRNA from 1 species
ACGCUGGCGGCGUGCCUAAUACAUGCAAGUAGAACGCUGAAGGAGGAGCUUGCUUCUCCGGAUGAGUUGCGAACGGGUGAGUAACGCGUAGGUAACCUGCCUGGUAGCGGGGGAUAACUAUUGGAAACGAUAGCUAAUACCGCAUAAGAGUAGAUGUUGCAUGACAUUUGCUUAAAAGGUGCAAUCGCAUCACUACCAGAUGGACCUGCGUUGUAUUAGCUAGUUGGUGGGGUAACGGCUCACCAAGGCGACGAUACAUAGCCGACCUGAGAGGGUGAUCGGCCACACUGGGACUAAGACACGGCCCAGACUCCUACGGGAGGCAGCAGUAGGGAAUCUUCGGCAAUGGACGGAAGUCUGACCGAGCAACGCCGCGUGAGUGAAGAAGGUUUUCGGAUCGUAAAGCCCUGUCGUAAGAGAAGAACGAGUGUGAGAGUGGAAAGUUCACACUGUGACGGUAUCUUACCAGAAAGGGACGGCUAACUACGUGCCAGCAGCCGCGGUAAUACGUAGGUCCCGAGCGUUGUCCGGAUUUAUUGGGCGUAAAGCGAGCGCAGGCGGUUAGAUAAGUCUGAAGUUAAAGGCUGUGGCUUAACCAUAGUACGCUUUGGAAACUGUUUAACUUGAGUGCAAGAGGGGAGAGUGGAAUUCCAUGUGUAGCGGUGAAAUGCGUAGAUAUAUGGAGGAACACCGGUGGCGAAAGCGGCUCUCUGGCUUGUAACUGACGCUGAGGCUCGAAAGCGUGGGGAGCAAACAGGAUUAGAUACCCUGGUAGUCCACGCCGUAAACGAUGAGUGCUAGGUGUUAGACCCUUUCCGGGGUUUAGUGCCGCAGCUAACGCAUUAAGCACUCCGCCUGGGGAGUACGACCGCAAGGUUGAAACUCAAAGGAAUUGACGGGG